GGUGCCAAACAGCCAAUGAAGGAGUGGGAGCAUGGAUGCCUAUUUGUUCCACCAGAGAUGCACUGCUUGAGCUUUAAUAUGUUCAACCUUAUCCAUUGGACCAGCCAGAUCUUGUGAGGUUGUAACCUGAACACAAGAGGAGACUGAGGAAAAGAGGUCAGCGAGGCAGGAUACAGCAGCAUCUUCAGCGUUGGGGAAAUAGGCCACCCCUGCCGUCUAUUAUAUUGUGCAAUAAGAGAUCUCUCCAGAGCAAAAUGGAGAAACUUCGAGUUAACUCUAAAGCAUGCUUUGAGUAGCGCACUUCCAGUCUGAUGGUACUUAUGGAGACAUGACUGCAACAGGAUAUUCCUGACGCUGGGGUGGAGUUGAACGGUUUAUCGCUUGUACGGAUGAACAGGAGUGCGCAAGAAGGGAAAAGCAGAGCGAGUGGACUGGUUGUGUACGUGGACGAUCCCUCAGCUAACAACACCACCACCAUGGCAGCCCCUCAGGUGGAUCAUCAUUCAGCUAACAACAGCACCAACAUUGCAGUGCCUCAGGUGGACCAUUAUUCAGCUAACAACAGCACCACCACGGCAGCGCCUCAGGUGGACCAUCAUUCAGCUAACAACAGCACCACCACAGCAGUGUUUCAGAUGGCCAUCAUUCAUCUAACAACACCACCACCAUGGCAGCGCCUCAGGUGGAUGAUCCCUCAGCAAACAACAGCAACACCAUGGCAGGGCCUCAGGUGGACCAUCAUUCAGCUAACAACAGCACCACCAUGGUAGCGCCUCAGGUGGAUGAUCCCUCAGCAAACAACAGCACCACCAUGGCAGUGUCUCCGGUGGACCAUCAUUCAGCUAACAACAGCACCACCACAGCAGCGCCUCAGCUGUACCAUCAUUCAGCUAACAACACCACCACCACAGCAGCUUCUCAGAUGGCCAUCAUUCAGCUAACAACAGCACAACCAUGGCAGCGCCUCAGGUGGACCAUCAUUCAUCUAACAACAACACCACCAUGGCAGUGCCUCAGGUGGACCAUUAUUCAGCUAAAAACAGCACCACCACGACAGCGCCUCAGGUGGACCAUUAUUCAGCUAACAACAUCACCACCACGGCAGUGCCUCAGGCGGACAGUCAUACAGCUACAACAGCACCAUCAUGGCAGCGCAUCAAGUGGAUGAUCAUACAGCUACAACAGCACAUUCUAUAAUGUAUGUCUAUAAAGUGAGCUCGAAGUGAGGAGAUGGG